AUAAGAUGUCUAUAAUGGGGCAUAGGAUCAAGAUCAUGCCAUACUCCACCUUCCGGUUAAAUCUAUCUGUCACUUCACCAUACAAUGCUGAUUUUGAUGGAGAUGAAAUGAACAUGCAUGUGCCUCAGUCAUUUGAAACAAGAGCAGAGGUUCUGGAGCUGAUGAUGGUGCCUAAAUGCAUAGUAUCACCUCAGGCCAAUCGGCCAGUUAUGGGUAUCGUGCAGGAUACACUCUUAGGUUGUCGUAAAGUCACCAAGAGAGAUACUUUUAUUGAAAAGGUGAUACUUUUAAGCCUUUCAAGACUUUCGAGAUGAUAGUUAAACAUCUUUGAUUUGACCUUUGAUGACCUUGUUUGAUAUGCAGGAUGUUUUCAUGAACAUAUUGAUGUGGUGGGAGGAUUUUGAUGGAAAAGUACCAACACCUACCAUUCUGAAACCUAGACCUUUAUGGACUGGGAAACAAGUGUUCAAUCUCAUCAUUCCAAAGCAGAUCAAUCUGAUUAGGACAGCAGCUUGGCAUUCGGAAACUGAAACCGGGCAUAUGACACCGGGUGAUACUCAAGUUCGAAUAGAGAAGGGAGAGGUUAUAACUGGCACCCUUUGUAAAAAAACCCUCGGUGCAUCUACAGGGAGUUUGAUACAUGUCAUCUGGUGUGUUUUCUCUUUCUGUACUUGUGUGACAUGGUAAUUAGUAAUUAGUUGGUGUGGGUGUAAUUUAUGUUUAUAAUCAUCCAUUCAUUCAUGUUACAGGGAGGAAGUUGGUCCAGAUGCUGCCCGCAAGUUUCUUGGACAUACCCAGUGGCUUGUUAACUACUGGCUUUUGCAACAAGGGUUCAGCAUUGGCAUUGGAGACACCAUUGCUGAUGCAGCAACCAUGGAAACCAUCAAUGAAACUAUUUCAAAAGCCAAGAAUGAGGUGAAAGAACUUAUUAGAACUGCUCAUGAUAAACAGCUGGAGCCAGAGCCUGGUCGAACUAUGAUGGAGUCAUUUGAAAACAGAGUGAAUCAGGUACUACCCCCAUUCAUUGUGAUAACUUCCACAAUCACCAUGGCUACACUACACUGGUUAUGUGAUUAUGAAAUAGUAACAUGGUGUAAAUUGUGUUCAGGUCCUGAACAAGGCUCGUGAUGACGCAGGAAGUAGUGCUCAGAAAAGUUUAUCAGAAAGCAACAAUCUCAAGGCUAUGGUGACAGCAGGUUCCAAAGGAAGUUUCAUCAAUAUAUCUCAAAUGACUGCUUGUGUGGGACAACAGAACGUUGAGGGUAAACGAAUCCCGUAUGGGUUCAUAGAUCGAACGCUUCCUCAUUUCACAAAAGAUGAUAAUGGACCUGAAAGUCGUGGGUUUGUGGAGAACUCUUAUCUUCGAGGUUUGACACCACAAGAGUUCUUCUUUCACGCCAUGGGAGGUAGAGAAGGUCUGAUUGAUACUGCUGUGAAAACAUCAGAAACUGGUUAUAUUCAGAGGAGACUGGUGAAAGCUAUGGAAGACAUCAUGGUGAAGUAUGAUGGUACUGUGAGGAACUCUCUUGGUGAUGUUAUCCAGUUUCUUUAUGGAGAAGAUGGAAUGGAUGCGGUUUGGAUCGAGUCUCAGAAACUUGAUUCUUUGAAAAUCAAGAAAAAGGAGUUUGAUCGGCUUUUCAAGUAUGAAAUUGAUGAUGAAAACUGGAAUCCAAGUUACAUGCUUCCAGAACAUGUGGAGGAUUUGAAAACAAUCCGGGAGUUCCGGAACGUGUUCGAUGCCGAAGUACAAAAACUAGAAGCCGAUCGUGUCCAGCUUGGAACUGAAAUUGCCACCACUGGUGACAACACAUGGCCCAUGCCUGUAAACCUCAAAAGGUUGAUUUGGAAUGCACAAAAGACAUUCAAGGUUGAUUUGAGAAGGCCAUCUGAUAUGCAUCCUAUGGAAAUCGUGGAAGCUGUUGAUAAGCUUCAAGAAAGGCUGCGUGUUGUCCCGGGUGAUGAUCAGUUGAGUAUUGAAGCCCAAAAGAACGCCACCCUUUUCUUCAAUAUUCUCCUUCGUAGUACUUUUGCUAGCAAGAGGGUGUUGAGUGAGUACAGGUUGACCCGUGAGGCGUUUGAAUGGGUUAUCGGUGAGAUAGAGUCCAGAUUCCUGCAGUCGCUUGUUGCACCCGGGGAAAUGAUUGGGUGUGUUGCGGCCCAGUCUAUCGGUGAACCUGCGACACAGAUGACCCUAAACACCUUCCAUUAUGCUGGUGUGAGUGCUAAGAAUGUUACCCUGGGUGUACCCCGAUUGAGGGAGAUUAUCAAUGUUGCUAAGAAGAUCAAAACCCCUUCGUUGUCAGUCUAUUUGAAGCCUGAGGUUAGUAAAACAAAAGAUCGGGCCAAAAACGUGCAGUGUGCUUUGGAGUACACCACACUACGGAGUGUGACUCAAGCCACUGAAGUGUGGUAUGACCCGGAUCCCAUGAGUACAAUCAUCGAAGAAGAUGUUGACUUUGUCAAAUCUUACUAUGAAAUGCCCGAUGAAGAGAUCGACCCGGAUAAGAUAUCUCCCUGGUUGCUCCGUAUUGAGUUGAAUCGUGAGAUGAUGGUUGACAAGAAGCUGAGCAUGGCGGAUAUUGCUGAAAAGAUCAAUCUUGAAUUCGACGAUGAUUUGACAUGUAUAUUUAACGAUGACAAUGCUGAAAAGUUGAUUUUGAGAAUACGUAUCAUGAAUGAUGAAGCCCCGAAAGGCGAAAUGCAAGACGAAUCGGCUGAGGACGAUGUCUUCCUUAAAAAGAUUGAAAGUAAUAUGUUGACAGAAAUGGCGUUGCGUGGGAUUCCCGAUAUCAACAAGGUGUUUAUCAAAUCAGGGAAAGUCAACAAGUUUGAUGAGAACGAAGGGUUCAAGCCCGAAAACGAAUGGAUGUUGGAUACAGAAGGUGUGAAUCUUUUAGCCGUGAUGUGUCAUGAAGACGUGGAUGCGUUGAGAUCCACCAGUAAUCAUCUGAUUGAAGUGAUUGAGGUUCUUGGGAUUGAAGCUGUUAGAAGGUCGUUGCUGGACGAACUUCGGGUGGUGAUUUCGUUUGAUGGGUCGUAUGUGAAUUACCGACAUUUGGCUAUUUUAUGUGAUACCAUGACGUACCGUGGGCAUCUUAUGGCUAUCACACGACACGGGAUCAACAGAAAUGAUACGGGCCCCAUGAUGAGGUGUUCGUUUGAAGAAACGGUUGAUAUUCUUCUUGAUGCUGCGGUUUAUGCGGAAACCGAUUAUCUCCGGGGUGUUACUGAGAACAUAAUGCUGGGGCAGCUUGCUCCUAUUGGGACCGGAGACUGUGCUUUGUUGUUGAACGAAGAGAUGUUACAGCAAGCGAUUGAUGUUCAGCUUCCGAGUUACAUGGACGGGCUGGAUAUCGGGAUGACACCUGGGCGGUCCCCCAUUACUCCUUUCCACGAUGGUGCAAUGUCUCCCACGAAUUAUCUGUUGAGCCCAAAUCUACGGCUGUCUCCGAUUAACGAUGCACAGUUUUCGCCUUAUGUUGGUGGGAUGGGUUUUUCGCCAACUUCAUCACCGGGCUAUAGCCCGUCGUCCCCCGGGUACAGCCCAUCAUCUCCGGGAUACAGCCCCACCUCGCCUGGUUAUAGCCCAACCUCACCGGGCUAUAGCCCUACAUCUCCGGGUUACAGUCCCACCUCUCCAACUUACAGCCCAAGUUCACCCGGUUAUAGCCCAACAAGUCCUACCUACUCACCCACUUCACCUAGCUACUCCCCUACCUCACCAAGCUACUCACCCACAUCACCUAGCUACAGCCCUACAUCGCCAGCUUACAGCCCGACCUCUCCGGCUUACAGCCCGACCUCUCCUUCCUACAGCCCGACAUCACCAUCCUACAGCCCAACCUCACCCUCCUACAGCCCAACCUCACCCUCUUACAGCCCGACCUCUCCUUCCUACAGCCCAACAUCACCAUCCUACAGCCCGACCUCCCCUUCCUACAGCCCAACCUCCCCUGCUUACAGCCCAACUUCACCUGGGUACAGUCCUACUUCCCCAAGCUACAGUCCUACUUCUCCAAGUUACAGUCCCACCUCACCAAGUUACAACCCUUCAUCCGCUAAGUACAGCCCCUCGUUGGCUUAUUCUCCUAGUAGUCCAUACAGCCCUACAUCCCCCAACUAC
rnacentral:lncRNA from 1 species